rnacentral:tRNA from 1 species
UCUGGUGUAGCUCAACAGUAGAGCACUUGGCUGUUAACCAAGGGGUUGCGGGUGCAAAUCCUGCCGCCAGAGCCA